AUCGNCAAGACCUUGCGCUAAAGGAGCGGCCGAUGUCUGAUUAGCUAGUUGGUGGGGUAAAGGCUUACCAAGGCAACGAUCAGUAGUUGGUCUGAGAGGACGGCCAACCACACUGGGACUGAGACACGGCCCAGACUCUACGGGAGGCAGCAGUGGGGAAUUUUGGACAAUGGGCGAAAGCCUGAUCCAGCCAUGCCGCGUGAGUGAAGAAGGCCUUCGGGUUGUAAAGCUCUUUUAGUCGGAAAGAAAGAGUUGCAAUGAAUAAUUGUGAUUUAUGACGGUACCGACAGAAAAAGCACCGGCUAACUACGUGCCAGCAGCCGCGGUAAUACGUAGGGUGCGAGCGUUAAUCGGAAUUACUGGGCGUAAAGGGUGCGCAGGCGGUCUUGCAAGUCAGAUGUGAAAGCCCCGGGCUUAACCUGGGAAUUGCGUUUGANUACUACAA
rnacentral:rRNA from 1 species